CCUACGGGAGACAGCAGUGGGGAAUAUUGCACAAUGGGGGAAACCCUGAUGCAGCGACGCCGCGUGAAGGAAGAAGUAUUUCGGUAUGUAACCUUCUAUCAGCAGGGAAGAAAAUGCCGGUACCUGACUAAGAAUCCCCGGCUAACUACGUGCCAGCAGCCGCGGUACUACGUAGGGGGCAAGCGUUAUCCGGAUUUACUGGGUUUAAAGGGAGCGUAGGCGGUUUAGCAAGUCAGAAGUGAAAGCCCGGGGCUCAACUGCGGGACUGCUUUUGAAACUGUUUAACUAGAUUGCAGGAGAGGUAAGUGGAAUUCCUAGUGUAGCGGUGAAAUGCGUAGAUAUUAGGAGGAACACCAGUGGCGAAGGCGGCUUACUGGACUGUAAAUGACGCUGAGGCUCGAAAGCGUGGGGAGCAAACAGGAUUAGAUACCCGAGUAGUC
rnacentral:rRNA from 1 species